rnacentral:tRNA from 1 species
GGUCCCGUAGUGUAGCGGUUAACACGCCUGCCUGUCACGCAGGAGAUCGCGGGUUCGAUUCUCGUCGGGACCG